rnacentral:rRNA from 1 species
AUUGAACGCUGGCGGCAUGCCUUACACAUGCAAGUCGAACGGCAGCACGGGUGCUUGCACCUGGUGGCGAGUGGCGAACGGGUGAGUAAUACAUCGGCACGUACCUUAUCGUGGGGGAUAACGCAGCGAAAGCUGUGCUAAUACCGCAUACGCCCUGAGGGGGAAAGCGGGGGAUCGCAAGACCUCGCGCGAUUAGAGCGGCCGAUGCCUGAUUAGCCUGUUGGUGGGGUAAAAGCCCACCAAGGCGACGAUCAGUAGCUGGUCUGAGAGGACGAUCAACCACACUGGGACUGAGACACGGCCCAGACUCCUACGGGAGGCAGCAGUGGGGAAUUUUGGACAAUGGGGGCAACCCUGAUCCAGCAAUGCCGCGUGAGUGAAGAAGGCCUUCGGGUUGUAAAGCUCUUUUGUCAGGGAAGAAACACCGGCUCUAACACAGUCUGGGAAUGACGGUACCUGAAGAAUAAGCACCGGCUAACUACGUGCCAGCCGCCGCCGUAA